rnacentral:lncRNA from 1 species
AAAAACAAAGUAAAGAAAAUAAGGUACAAUUGAACAAAAAUGCACAAGGAAGGACUAAACGCAAAUUAACCCUCAAGGACCAAAUGUGCGGAUCUCAACUUGGCACCGGUCGGGUCACUGGGUUUGUGGCUCCCAGACGGUGCCGUUUCAAAGCCAUUGAGAUUGGCCCAAAACGACAUCACUUCAUACACUUUAAAAGAUAAAGAAAAAAAUAAAACUCUAAUGAAGCACAUACACCAUUUCCUUCAUUUUCUAAAGAAAUCAGAGUAAAAAAAAACCUAAAACUUAUCGCUGCUAUUCGGCUGACCCCAAAACUCAAGCAGAUCAAUUGCCACCACUGUAAUUGGUGGAUAUCUACAUGCGCAUCCUUUGUAUGGAGCUUUGGCUCAAGGAUUACCUAUUUCAGCCCUAAAAAUCUCAUCUCGAACUUCGAUUUCAGCGAAGGAGCUAAGAAUUUCAAUGGCCUAUUCGUGGAGGUAAACACUCCUUUUCUUUUAUUUUCUUAUAUUCAAACCACAUGCAAACUCAAAGAAGAAAAACGCAUAACUAAUAAGACCGAGAAUAUCCUUUUCAACAAUUUUCAAUUUGAUUUUUUUGUAUCCAGUAUGCGUGUGUAUUUCUCUCCAAAAAGAUCAUCCACUUUACAUCGCUUUCAUUCGAUUUUAUAGCCGAAAAAAUAGAAAUAAAUAAAAAAAAGAAAAUACAAAUUUCAUUGCUGUCAUUUGCUGUCCAUUGCUCCUUUGUUUGUUAGUCUGUUGCAGGUGUGCAUGGCGUGGAGAAGUCGUUCGUGGGCGUGGAGCGUGGCGCGCGUGGAAGCCGUUGCUGAUGGUGUUUGCGGCGCAUGAGAACGGCAGCUUGGUGGCCUAGGGUUUUCAAUUUCUGAAACUAGUUAAUGGGCUAAGUUUUGGGUUAGGUUUUUGGGCUGUGUAAUGGGUUAAGAUUAGGUCUAAGUCAAUGGGUUUGGGUUUUAUUAAUUUGGGUUUAUUUGGACUUGUUUAAUGGACUGUAAAUUUGGAUUUUAUUUAUUAUUUUUUUGUUAUUUUUGAUCUGUUUUGGUUUUGAUGUGGGCUAAGGGGUUAUGGACUAUUUUAUUGAUUUUUAUGAUUUUAUUAUUUUUUGGUUUUUUUUUUGCAUUUAGUUUAUAAGUCUAAAGGCUCGGGCGAAAUGGGCCUUCUACAGUGGCUAUGAAUUUUCAUAAGUGGUUGUGUAUGAAGGUUUUUAUACAAUUUGGGAUUCUUUUAUAUUUGGUAGUUAUUGAUUUUUUUUUAAGUAUUUGUGCGUAUAAAGAAGUUUUAUGAUAAUAUCUUUAGUCAUUAAUAUAAAUUUGAGUUUACAUGAAAUAUGUAAGGCAAACUAAUAUUAUUUUGUUUAUUAUAUAAUUGUGUGUAUAUAUUUUAUGUAUAUAUAUUAUAUGCAUAUAAAUGAUUUUGAGGAUUAAUGCAUGAUUAUAGUUGGCAUGAAUAGGUGUUUAUAACCAUUAUUCAGUAAGAUAUCUUUUAUAGUUUAAUUGGUGAAAUUAAGUUUUGGUGGAUAUCGUUGAAGUUGUUGUUAUUAUUAUUAUUAUUAUUAUUAUUAUUAUUAUUAUUAUUGCUAUGGUUAUAUAUUCAAUUUUGCGGGUGCUUUAGUGCAAAUUCAUGUAAACUAUAUACAUAUUUAAAUAAUUUGGUUUUAAGUUUGGUUCUAUAAUCUUAG